rnacentral:misc_RNA from 1 species
AACCAUAGAAACCUGCGGAGUACCUGCGGAGGGAUCAUUAUAGUAUAUGGAACCUCCAUUCUAUAAACCCACUCUGCGUAUCUUGUAACUGUUGCUUCCAUGGGACUUGGUCCCGCCACACCGGCUUCACGGCUGGUGAGCGCCCAUGGAAGGAGAAACAAAACUCUUCUUUGAAAUGUAGUCAGUCUGAACAAGUUUUUAUAAACGUUAAAACUUUCAACAAUGGAUCUCAGAUCGGAA